AACCUGUCAACUCCUAAUCUUGAAUACUUUUGUAAAUUUUAAUUGUCUGAGGUAUUUCAUUUGGUGCCAAGUUAAUAAUUUGAUAUAAAGAUUUAGCUACCUUUUCUUGUUUCAGCUCCUUCAUCGAUUCUGAUCCAUUUUUUAAGUCCGACAUAUUGGAGGUAUUCAAUUUUGAUUCCAGUGCAUUGAUCCGAUGUACAUCAUAUUUUUUCAUCCAAUGUAUAAUAACAUGAUCAAAAUUUUCCAUAUCUGGUGGGUAUAUCAAAUAUUUUUCCAAUCCUCUACGUUGAUAUACUACCCCAUGGUAUUGAGCAAUCUCAAAGGAUGCUCUUUCCUUUGGUACAACAGUGUCUUCAUUAGAACUAAGUUCAUC
rnacentral:lncRNA from 1 species